ACUAACAGGAUUCCCUCAGUAACGGCGAGUGAAGCGGGAUCAGCCCAGCACCGAAUCCCUCGCGUUGACCGCGACGGGAACUGUGGUGUUCGGGAGCGCCGAUGGCGUUGGCGGCGGGCGUCCGAGUCCUCCUGAUCGGGGCUUCGCCCAUAGCGGGUGUCAGGCCUCUACGGCCCCCGCYGCCRCGCCUCCGAGCCUCCUAGGAGUCGGGUUGUUUGGGAAUGCAGCCCUAAGCGGGUGGUAAACUCCAUCUAAGGCUAAAUACUGGCACGAGUCCGAUAGCGGACAAGUACCGUGAGGGAAAGUU
rnacentral:rRNA from 1 species